UUUACCCAAUUUUCAUUUCCUUUGAACACCACCAUGGCACCAUCCAUUGGUGUAUCCAGAAUUAUCCAGGGGUCAUGUAAGGGAUCCAAGGAUUUUUAAAUGCGUCGCAAAUGGUGUCGCUGAUAAUAAUAUAGCGCCUAAAUGUAUUAAGUUUUCAAUUAGGCGCUUUAUUUUUCAGACGAAAAAGAACGGGCGCGCCUUUCAUUCUUCCCUCCCUCCACCUUCUCCUCUUUCAUAUUCGACUGAAAAAUGAGAGCCCUAAUCCAUCCAAUCAGAGAUUUUGGGAGAAUCAUCGGAAAUUAUGGACCACAAUCGGAGAUCCUGAAGCGCAAUCGAAUAUUUCCGAUUAAAGCUUAAAGUUUUACGCUAGCAGCAGAUAGAUGUUGGCGGAGAAUGGCAGCGGCGGUGCCAACAAUAUUGGUGGCGAUAAGGAAGAGGAGCAGGAGCUCUCGUUUUUAACCGUGCCCAGUUGUUAGUUUUGCUAUUUUUGCCAUUUUUUUGGUUAAUUUUGGCAAACUUUGUCUAAAUUUGAAUUGUGUAAUUCCUGAAAAGUUUAAUAUACUCGGAUAAACUUGUGAAAAUUAGCAACUUUGAAAGGCCCUUUGAUCAAGUCGUUAAUAUGAGUAUUUGAAAUGUAUCAGUUGCACCUGCACAUAAUUUUAGUAAUUAGUUCAUGGGAAUGGAAUUGCCUAAUAGGUUAAGACAUGGGUUUCUCAUGGAUUGCCUAUUAGAUGCUGUUUGAAAACUGAAUUGUCGAAACUUGAAAGUUUUGAAUCACCUUUUAGCAUAUUAUUAGGAGUUGAACUCUAAGUUUUUGAUCAUGUGAUCCUUUAUGUUCGGUUGAUGAAAUGAGCUCGCAAGAAUUUGAGGCCGGUUACCGGCCAAAGCCUGAUUUGCUAAAAGCUAUUGCAGUAUUUGCAGCAGCUGGAACUGGGUAGUGGCAAUUAACCAAUCCUGGGUUGCUGCCAAUUAGAUAACAUUUUAUUUCCAGCAUGGUUGUUGAAAGGUGCCUUUCCCAUGAUUUCGAGUUGCCUUGGCACGGCGGUUUGGAAUAGGAUGCGUGGGCAUCAUUUUUGAAGAAUCGCUGGCCAUGAACAAAAGUGGAGUAGGUUUGUUAAUGUUUGUCUACAUUUGUUUGUGGUGCAGGGUGGAUGAGCUUAAAAUCUUGACCGAGGAAUAUUUAGUCGAUAUGGCUAUCAAGGAAGCAUUUAAGGGAACCCCUCCGAAGUGGCGUCCUAGACUGCCUCGCCUACUCCGGCUACCCUCAGGAGCGGUCGUGGGCUUAUCAGCCAUGUAUGCUCAUUGUUCACUUGCUUGCGCAUGCCUUUUCUUCUUCCUCCCAUCUAUGUUGGCGCUUUUUCAUAAGGGCUACUCAAAGGCUUGUUGGCAUGUGCAAGCAAGAAAAACUACUCAAAGGCGCUACUCACGUGUACGGCAGCCUGAGCGCGUGGAGGUCUCGAUUGAUUCCAUGGUCUAAUUUUUCGCGAAUCGCAAUCCGACGGUGGCGAUUGCGUCGGCGUAGAACCAAUCGACAAAAGUGGAUCUCUUCAAUGCGUAUUUUCGACGAGCCAGUUUGGAAUGCAAUGGCCAGAUUAGUGGCAAUGAAGCAGUCGCUUUCUUCCAGGGCUCCGGUCUCCCCAAACAG